GACGAACGCUGGCGGCGUGCUUAACACAUGCAAGUCGAACGGAAAGGCCUCUUUCGGGGGGUACUCGAGUGGCGAACGGGUGAGUAACACGUGAGUAACCUGCCCUUGACUUUGGGAUAACUUCAGGAAACUGGGGCUAAUACCGGAUAGGAGCUCCUGCUGCAUGGUGGGGGUUGGAAAGUUUCGGCGGUUGGGGAUGGACUCGCGGCUUAUCAGCUUGUUGGUGGGGUAGUGGCUUACCAAGGCUUUGACGGGUAGCGGCCUGAGAGGGUGACCGGCCACAUUGGGACUGAGAUACGGCCCAGACUCCUACGGGAGGCAGCAGUGGGGAAUAUUGCACAAUGGGUGGAAGCCUGAUGCAGCAACGCCGUGUGCGGGAUGACGGCCUUCGGGUUGUAAACCGCUUUCGCUCAUGACGAAGCUUUGUGUGACGGUAGUGGGUAAAGAAGCACCGGCUAACUACGUG
rnacentral:rRNA from 1 species